UGGGGAAUAUUGCACAAUGGGCGAAAGCCUGAUGCAGCAACGCCGCGUGAGUGAUGAAGGCCUUCGGGUUGUAAAGCUCUGUCUUCUGGGACGAUAAUGACGGUACCAGAGGAGGAAGCCACGGCUAACUACGUGCCAGCAGCCGCGGUAAUACGUAGGUGGCAAGCGUUGUCCGGAUUUACUGGGCGUAAAGGAUGCGUAGGCGGAUACUUAAGUCAGAUGUGAAAAUCCCGGGCUUAACUUGGGAACUGCAUUUGAAACUGGGUCUCUAGAGUGCGGGAGAGGAAAGUGGAAUUCCUAGUGUAGCGGUGAAAUGCGUAGAGAUUAGGAAGAACACCAGUGGCGAAGGCGACUUUCUGGACCGUAACUGACGCUGAGGCAUGAAAGCGUGGGGAGCAAACA
rnacentral:rRNA from 1 species